AAAGGUGGAGGGGGCCAUAGCAGAAGCAUUCAUGUUGUGACCCCUGCCAGAUAACACCUGUAAUAACUACAAAUUCUGCU
rnacentral:ribozyme from 1 species